ensembl:misc_RNA 7SK 7SK RNA
GGAUGUGAGGGUGAUCUGACUAGGACAUCUGUCGCCCCAUUGAUUGCCAGGGUUGAUUGGGCUGAUCUGGCUGGCGGCUGUCCCCUUCCUCCCUCACUGCUCCAUGUGCAUCCCUCCCAAAGCUGCAUGCUCAGUGGAAGAGGAUGACCCUGACAGAGGAGGACUGUUGUUCGGUCAAGGGUAUGGGAGUAGCUGCGUUCCCCUGCUAGAACCUCCAGACAAGCUGUCAAGUCCAUUUGUAGGAGAACAUAGGGUAGUCAGGUUUCCAAGACCAGAUACGUCCAAAUGAGGCACUGCAUGUGGCAGUCUGCCCUUCUAA